rnacentral:rRNA from 1 species
GACGAAAGAUGGCGGGGGGAGGAACACAGGCAAGUCGAACGGAAAGGCCCUGCUUUUGUGGGGUGCUCGAGUGGCGAACGGGUGAGUAACACGUGAGUAACCUGCCCUUGACUUUGGGAUAACUUCAGGAAACUGGGGCUAAUACCGGAUAGGAGCUCCUGCUGCAUGGUGGGGGUUGGAAAGUUUCGGCGGUUGGGGAUGGACUCGCGGCUUAUCAGCUUGUUGGUGGGGUAGUGGCUUACCAAGGCUUUGACGGGUAGCCGGCCUGAGAGGGUGACCGGCCACAUUGGGACUGAGAUACGGCCCAGACUCCUACGGGAGGCAGCAGUGGGGAAUAUUGCACAAUGGGCGGAAGCCUGAUGCAGCAACGCCGCGUGCGGGAUGACGGCCUUCGGGUUGUAAACCGCUUUCGCCUGUGACGAAGCGUGAGUGACGGUAAUGGGUAAAGAAGCACCGGCUAACUACGUG